rnacentral:rRNA from 1 species
GAUGAACGCUGGCGGCGUGCCUAAUACAUGCAAGUCGAGCGAACAGACGAGGAGCUUGCUCCUCUGACGUUAGCGGCGGACGGGUGAGUAACACGUGGAUAACCUACCUAUAAGACUGGGAUAACUUCGGGAAACCGGAGCUAAUACCGGAUAAUAUAUUGAACCGCAUGGUUCAAUAGUGAAAGACGGUUUUGCUGUCACUUAUAGAUGGAUCCGCGCCGCAUUAGCUAGUUGGUAAGGUAACGGCUUACCAAGGCAACGAUGCGUAGCCGACCUGAGAGGGUGAUCGGCCACACUGGAACUGAGACACGGUCAACACUCCUACGGGAGGCAGGAGUAGGGAAUCGUCCGCAAUGGGCGAAAGCCUGACGGAGCAACGCCGCGUGAGUGAUGAAGGUCUUCGGACCGUAAAACUCUGUUAUUAGGGAAGAACAAAUGUGUAAGUAACUAUGCACGUCUUGACGGUACCUAAUCAGAAAGCCACGGCUAACUACGUG